UGGCAGAGAAUGCCAGUUGCCUACAGUCCAUCCAUCAUCUCUUCCUCUCUUAUUAGCAGAUCUUGAGUUUUUUUUUUUAAGAUUUUAUUUAUUUAUGAAAGACACAGUGAGAGAGGCAGAGACACAGGCAAGGGAGAAGCAGGCUCCAUGCAGGGAGUCCGACAUGGGACUCGAUCCUGGCACUCCGGGAUCAGUCUCUGAGUCAAAGACAGAUGUUCAACCACUGAGCCACCCAGGCGUCCCCCCUUUUUUUUUUUAAAGAUUUUAUUUAGGUCUUGAGUUUUAACUGGGCACACUGCCAUCUUACUACAAGACUAUGUGUCCUUUACAACAGGAAGAUGUGAGUGAUGUAUUGUGUGGAGCUUCCAUACAUCUUGGCCCAGGAGGAUCUCUGAUGCUACAAUCUCUCCGGGAUCCUGGUUCCACAGACCUGCUACACCAACUCUGGGACUUCUUUAUCAACAUGGCUCACAAGAAAACUCUAUAGGAUUGAUUCAGCCAGAGUACAGAGGUAAGUUCUGAUUAUGCCCCGAUUAUACAAGAUUUGUCAUAAAACUAGUUGGAAUGACACUAAAAAAAUCAUUAUUAGACUCUCACAAAAGACAACUAAAAAUACUCUCACAUUGUAUUGUGAUGAAAGCCUCUUUGGAGUUCUCUAUCCAUUGAUUGUUUUUUUUCCAAUCUGAUUGUGUAAACCUAAAAUAAAUGCAAUAUUGAGUGUUAGAAAAAUAUUCUA
rnacentral:lncRNA from 12 species